UGGAGAGUUUGAUCCUGGCUCAGGAUGUAACUGCUCCGCCCCGUUGCCUAAUAAACGCAAGUCGAGCGAACAGACGAGGAGCUUGCUCCUCUGACGUUAGCGGCGGACGGGUGAGUAACACGUGGAUAACCUACCUAUAAGACUGGGAUAACUUCGGGAAACCGGAGCUAAUACCGGAUAAUAUAUUGAACCGCAUGGUUCAAUAGUGAAAGACGGUUUUGCUGUCACUUAUAUGAUGGAUCCGCGCCGCAUUAGCUAGUUGGUAAGGUAACGGCUUACCAAGGCAACGAUGCGUAGCCGACCUGAGAGGGUGAUCGGCCACACUGGAACUGAGACACGGUCCAGACUCCUACGGGAGGCAGCAGUAGGGAAUCUUCCGCAAUGGGCGAAAGCCUGACGGAGCAACGCCGCGUGAGUGAUGAAGGUCUUCGGAUCGUAAAACUCUGUUAUUAGGGAAGAACACAAUGUGUAAGUAACUAUGCACGUCUUGACGGUACCUAAGCAAAAAGCCACGGACCAACUACGUGCCAGCAGCCGCGGUA
rnacentral:rRNA from 1 species